rnacentral:rRNA from 1 species
AUGGCACUGUACGGGCUGGGCCAGGCGGCGACGGUGGCGCAGCUGGUGGGUGCGGACGUGGGCGGGCUCAUCUCCAUGACCAUGCAGGCCGCGCUGACGGCUCGGCAGAACAGGGCGGAGUGCGAGCAGCUGGCGCGCCGGGUCCUCAUGAUCGCGCAGCUGCUCCCGCACGUGCAGCUGGCCGACGACCCGGAGGCGGCGGCGUGGCCGCUGGCCGGGCUGGGCGACGCGCUCCGGGACGCCCACGAGCUCGUCGUGUCCUGCCAGGGCAGGAGUGCCGCCUACCAGUUCGUCAUGGCCGGCAGGACGGCCGACGGGUUCAGGGAGGUGCAGGGCAGGAUCGACUCCUACCUCAUCCUCUUCCCCGUGAUCAGCCACAUCGGCAUCACUCGCCGCCUUGAAAGGAUCUACAACGUCCUCGUUCCAGACGACGACUCCACCACCGGUGGUGAACCAUCGUAUCCACCUCCACCACGGCUGUCCCACACGCAGUCUCUUUUUCAGGAGUCUCCACGAGAGGUGGCUCAGGAGGUAGAGGUAGUGCGGCAUGGAACCCAGGAAUUCACGUUGGCGGAAAUCAUGGCUGCCACCAAUGGCUUCGCCCGUGACGCCGUGAUCGGCUAUGGCGCCGGUGGAAGAGUGUACAGGGGCAGGCUUCAUGAUGGUCGAGAGGUGGCUGUCAAGCGCGUGAGUAACCUGCAGUCAAACAACAUACAACUGGAGCUCGACAUCCUGUCACGGCUCCGAUACAAACACAUCGUUCGCCUCCUUGGAUCGUGUGUGACUCGGGGCACGGACAAGAGAAAAAAGCGCCUGCUGACCACCAAGCGAAGAAAGGAACCCGAAGAGGAGCCAGAAGGGUUCAUCGUCUACGAGUACAUGGAGAACGGCACGCUCUACGACCACCUGCACCGUAACCAGGGCUCCUCCACACCAUCACCAGUGAGGAUGUGCUGGAAGACGCGCAUAGAGGUGCUCCUCUGUGUGUCGCGCGCCAUCAAGCACCUGCACUGUCAUGCCGUAGCGCCGAUCAUCCACCGUGAUAUCAAGUCAAGUAACAUCCUUUUCGACGCCAUGUGGGUGCCACAUGUGUCGGACUUUGGCUCGUCACUCACCUGGCACGUGGCGAAUGUGAAGGACUCGGGGUUGGAAUGCCCUGUUAUGGGCACAUUUGGGUACGUCGACCCUGAGUACUGCCUAAGAGGCCGCGUGAAGCCGGCGAGCGAUGUGUACAGCCUGGGCGUGCUGAUGCUCGAGGUUUUGACAGGGAAACGGGCAUUUCUCCAAGGGGGGUUGAAGAUAAAGGAAGAUCUAGCAUGUUUCGCUUCUCCUAUCAUCGAGGCUGGUAAUAUUACGGAGUUGCUGGACAAGCGACCUGUACCGGAGCCAACACCAUUGCAGUUGCAGGCGCUGAAGCGUGUGGCGCAAAUUGCAAGAUGUUGUGUCAAGUGGGUUGGGAGGGCUCGGCCGGCCAUAUCGGACAUUGUUGCCAACCUCGAGAUGGUGUACAAGUUGAUCUGCAGAGACGAGCCAUGUUUAGUUGAAGAGUCAGUCGUGUGGCCUUUUCUUGAAAAAGUUGAUGAGUCGCCACAUGCCAAGAGUGUGCCAUCAGCAGGCUACCAGCCCAAUCUGGUACACCAGAAACUGACUGAACUCUGUUCACAUUAA